GGACUACAGGGGUUUCUAAUCCCGUUUGCUCCCCUGGCUUUCGUGUCUCAGCGUCAGCACACUCCCAGCGACCUGUUUUCACCAUUGGCGUUCCAAACGAUAUCUACGCAUUUCACCGCUCCACCGUUUGUUCCGGUCGCCCCUAAGUGGCUCAAGACAGCCAGUAUACCAAGCAGUUCCACGGUUAAGCCGUGGGAUUUCACAAGGUACUUAGCAAUCCGCCUACACACGCUUUAAGCCCAGUGAUUCCGCCUAACGCUCGAGACCUCUGUAUUACCGCGGCGGCUGGCAC
rnacentral:rRNA from 1 species